ACUAUGGCGAUUAUCUAAGACAUAUCGAUGUUGUUGACCGGGGUACUAUCGAUAAUACUAUCGUAUUUUUGCAGUUGUAUUGCACGGUUGUAACAUUUUUCUUUGUUAAUGUUUUAAAAUAUAUUUAUUCAGUGGAAGAGCCCAAGGUAAAGCAGCGCUCGACUCUCAAAAGAAACAAACGGGCAGAAAAAGUCGAGACAUUUAAGACAUAUUCAAGUACGUAUUGGUCAUACCUGUUCAGAAAUUUUAAAUACUAUUUCUGCAUUCCUUACGUAUUCCCUCGUAUUCGCAUUGUGACUUCUGCUUUGUUGACUACAUCUCCACGGCGUAAUCCAAACGCGCCUUCAACGCUUUAAGAGCCUGUGCGCAUUUCUACGGUCGUCAAUUGGUACACUUGGCAACCACGAUGUGGAGAAGCUUUGCAAGCAGACGGCGAUCGAUUACGGUGCCACUUGGGCACUUUGCGCUUCACCCAAACGUAGAAAAAAAUCCAUCAUCGAUGUAGAGAGAAGUCCGCAGCCAAAUCAAGAUGUUGAGAAAAAGCUAAAAUCUCCAUGCCCCUAGCUUGAAAAUGUAUAAAGUACACGAUAUAAUUUUUAAAUUACUGAUAUAUAAAAUAAAAAAGUUCCCUGAAUUACAA